rnacentral:rRNA from 1 species
UACAGAGGGCUCAAGCGUUGUUCGGAUUCAUUGGGCGUAAAGGGUGCGUAGGCGGCGCGGUAAGUCGGGUGUGAAAUCUUGGAGCUUAACUCCGAAACUGCAUUCGAUACUGCCGUGCUUGAGGACUGGAGAGGAGACUGGAAUUUACGGUGUAGCGGUGAAAUGCGUAGAUAUCGUAAGGAAGACCAGUGGCGAAGGCGGGUCUCUGGACAGUUCCUGACGCUGAGGCACGAAGGCCAGGGGAGCAAACGGG